rnacentral:rRNA from 1 species
UACGGGGGGAGCAAGCGUUGUUCGGAUUUACUGGGCGUAAAGGGCGCGUAGGCGGUCAGCACAAGUCAGUUGUGAAAUCUCCGGGCUUAACUCGGAAAGGUCAACUGAUACUGUGCGACUAGAGUGCGGAAGGGGCAACUGGAAUUCUCGGUGUAGCGGUGAAAUGCUUAGAGAUUACAUGGAAUACCAAUUGCGAAGGCAGGUUACUACUAAUGGAUUGACGCUGAUGGACGAAAGCGUGGGGAGCAAACAGG